rnacentral:rRNA from 2 species
CUGCAACUCGACUCCAUGAAGUCGGAAUCGCUAGUAAUCGUGGAUCAGAAUGCCACGGUGAAUACGUUCCCGGGCCUUGUACACACCGCCCGUCACACCAUGGGAGUGGGUUGCAAAAGAAGUAGGUAGCUUAACCUUCGGGAGGGCGCUUACCACUUUGUGAUUCAUGACUGGGGUGAAGUCGUAACAAGGUAACCGUAGGGGAACCUGCGGUUGGAUCACCUCCUUACCUUAAAGAA